rnacentral:rRNA from 1 species
AAAAACAUCGCUCCUUGAUAUUAUUAUAUAAGGAGUUGGACCUGCCCAGUGAUUUAUUUUAACGGCCGCGGUACUCUGACCGUGCAAAGGUAGCAUAAUCAUUUGCCUUAUAAUUGAAGGCUAGUAUGAAAGGUUUAACAAGAAUAUUACUGUCUCAAUACGAUUAAUUAGAAUUUUAUUUUUAGGUGAAGAAGCCUAAAUUAAAUUAAUAGACAAGAAGACCCUAUCGAGCUUUAAAUAAUUAUGAAGACUAUUUAUUGAUAAAUUUAAAAAAUUAGCUUCUAAAAAUUUUAGUUGGGGCGACUAAGGAACAAUUAAAGCUUCCUUAAUUAAAUUAUUAUGUUCAAAUAUUGAUCCAUAAAAUUAUGAUUAAUGGAAUUAGUUACCGUAGGGAUAACAGCAUAAUCUUUUUUAAGAGCUCUUAUCGAAAAAAAGGUUUGUGACCUCGAUGUUGGACCAAAAUAUCCUAAAGAUGCAGCAGUCUUUAAUGGUUGGUCUGUUCGACCAUUAAAAUUUUACCUGA